rnacentral:rRNA from 1 species
GACGAACGCUGGCGGCGUGCUUAACACAUGCAAGUCGAACGGAAAGGCCUCUUUCGGGGGGUACUCGAGUGGCGAACGGGUGAGUAACACGUGAGUAACCUGCCCUUGACUUUGGGAUAACUUCAGGAAACUGGGGCUAAUACCGGAUAGGAGCUCCUGCUGCAUGGUGGGGGUUGGAAAGUUUCGGCGGUUGGGGAUGGACUCGCGGCUUAUCAGCUUGUUGGUGGGGUAGUGGCUUACCAAGGCUUUGACGGGUAGCCGGACUGAGAGGGUGACCGGCCACAUUGGGACUGAGAUACGGCCCAGGCUCCUACGGGAGGCAGCAGUGGGGAAUAUUGCACAAUGGGUGGAAGCCUGAUGCAGAAAGGCCGUGUGCGGGAUGACGGCCUUCGGGUUGUAAACCGCUUUCGCUCAUGACGAAGCUUUGUGUGACGGUAGUGGGUAAAGAAGCACCGGCUAACUACGUG